rnacentral:rRNA from 1 species
AAUGAACGCUGGCGGUAUGCCUAACACAUGCAAGUCGAACGGCAGCACAGUAAGAGCUUGCUCUUACGGGUGGCGAGUGGCGGACGGGUGAGGAAUACAUCGGAAUCUACUUUUUCGUGGGGGAUAACGUAGGGAAACUUACGCUAAUACCGCAUACGACCUACGGGUGAAAGCAGGGGAUCUUCGGACCUUGCGCGAUUGAAUGAGCCGAUGUCGGAUUAGCUAGUUGGCGGGGUAAAGGCCCACCAAGGCGACGAUCCGUAGCUGGUCUGAGGGGAUGAUCAGCCACACUGGAAGUGAGACACGGUCCAGACUCCUACGGGAGGCAGCAGUGGGGAAUAUUGGACAAUGGGCGCAAGCCUGAUCCAGCCAUACCGCGUGGGUGAAGAAGGCCUUCGGGUUGUAAAGCCCUUUUGUUGGGAAAGAAAAGCAGCAGGUUAAUACCCCGCUGUUCUGACGGUACCCAAAGAAUAAGCACCGGCUAACUUCGUG